rnacentral:lncRNA from 1 species
AGUGUAGGCCCAAUCAAAUCUAAAAACUAUAGCUAAUAUGGAUCGAUGAGAACCUGAAGAGUUUUUGCUGAUCUAGAGUGGUGGGGGCAAUAAGCGUUUGAAACAAAUUAAUGUUACUACCUAGACUAUAACACGAGAAUAGCAUCAGAAAGAAAUUGGCAGGCAAGCAUCAACACAUUUCAACCAAUUAUUUGUUUCAUUAAAUUUUGAAUGUUGGAUUGAUUGAUUACAAUACU